ACCAGCAUCCCUCUUAAAUUUCCUUCUACAGAAGCGUCCAGCUCUGAACUCUAGAGAUGUGUGUCCCCAGGUCUGUUCAAUCGCCUUGUUUAGGCUGAGAUCACAGCCCUCUCCAGCAUCACCUUCGCAGUGAAAAAGACACAAACCCGACGGCUCAACACUUGCAAGGCAGAGCAAUGCUGCAGCCUCGUGUGCCCUUCGACUCACUCACUUUCCCUCGGCCAGGCCUCAAGCAGAGCAGUGAUUGAAGAGAGGUGGAGCCCCGUGACUGACUCCCCUGAGAACAUAACUCUGGUUUCUCUGACACCCCGAACAAGAGCGAGAUGUCAGGAUUCUUCCUUUGGGCUGCUGCGUGAUCUUUACAUCUCCAGAGAGUAAUGGACUGGUGACAGUGAUGCUACAUCACCUCUUCUGAAUGCAGGAGCUCAGUUCCGUGUUUGGCAGCUCUAGGAUGAACCAGUGGAGUUUCCUUGACCUCAAUGGGGAUCGAUUCCGUUUGGAGCUUGUAGCAACUGAUGUCCAAGGGAGCCCAAGUCCCACCCAUCACAUGGCAACAGGAAGAUUCUUCCAGCAGAGAGACUGUACAAUCACAGGCAGCUGCACUGAGGAAAAUGUAAAUGCAAUAGUAAACACAGACUUGGAGGAGCAUCUGUUGCCUCCUCCAGGUCAAGCAGCGGUCUUGAAAGAUUACCCAGCACGUAGAGAACUCAGAAGGAGCAAGGUGAGCACAUCUACCAGUGGAAUGCCUGCUCCUAUGGAGGCACACCAGUCAGGAGGAACAGGAUGAGCUGGGAGCUGGAAGGAAAGGGAGGUCAAUGAAGGACUUUUUUCUUCUUCACAAUUCCACAAACAUGCUACGGAUCCAUGGUGAGUUUGGGUUUUGACCACUGAGCUGCCCCAAGGGAUGCUGACCUGAUGAGGGGUCGGCAGCCUUCCACUUGGGCUUUCCCUGUGCCAGGUAUCGACUGAGCUCUGCCUGUCUCAGUAACUGAACCCAGCUGUAGCUGUGCACCUUGCCUCUGUGAGUAGAAUAAAAGAACUAAAAAAGCAGGAUGGAGAUGAUAUCACAGUACUGGGAAUUUCCCUGCUAUUUUUCAGGAACAUCUUUGCCAAGAAGUGGUAUUCUCAGAGCUAGGUUGCGUAUCUUCUACUGACAGAGGGAAGCAAGGAGAAAUCAGCUGUGGGGCCAUCUGCUCCUUGAGCAAAUGGGAAGGGGAAGCCACCUCUCCCACCUCCUCAUGAUGUUUGCAUUUCCGAGAGAGACCAGAGAAGUAAAAAAAGAAGCAGUCCAUCAUUAACUCAGAAAUAGCCCGCCUACAGAAGCUGCAGAAGGAUGCUGGGCCCUUUGUGCCUGUCUUUUUUUUUACCCAAGUGUGUAAUUUCUCACUUGUUUGUUGACAAAUCAGUGCCCUCUAUGGGCCCUUGGCUGGCAUCUCUCUGAGGAGCCCAAAGGGUGGGGUUGGGAAGAGCAGGAUGCUCCAAGGGAGCUGCAGUGGUGCCAGUCCCCUUGUCCUCACCAUCUUACAGAGGCAGCCCCCCUACCCACAUCACUCCCACACACUUGUGUGCCCUUCCUGCCCCUUUCUGAUCACUGAGAUGCUCCUCAUCAGUGCUAAGUGCUCUGAAGGUCACAGGCUACGCAGCUCCCGACAUCACCGAGGAUCAGGCUUUGGCCUUGCUGCCACCCCCCUGUUCCCCUCGAGACCCCUGAAGUGACAGAACCUUGCAGCUCGCUCCUUGCCUCCCCCUCCUGCCUCCCACUUCCUUCUCUCACUCUCAUUUAUUUCAAUUUGCUAUGCUUUCU